rnacentral:lncRNA from 1 species
CUCAGCUUUGCUGUGGUGCUGUGGGGUGGCCAGUUGUGGGGACAGCAGGACAAGCAGGAUGAUGCCCUCAGCUGGGAUGUAAGGGAUUGGCUGCUCUGCUCCAUUGGCCUGGCCUUGCUGAGGUGACUUGGCUGCACAAAGUGAGGGUUGAGGGCCACCCCAGCUGCCUCUUGCCCUCUCCAAGCCUUGCACACUAGUAUGGGUUGGGGAGAGCUGCUUUCACAACCUGGAUGUGUUGUCACUCACUUCCAGACGUUUCCUGUUAUCUAACCUCAGCCUUAUCUUCCCCAUUUGCAGCUUCCUCUUGAAGGAGGAGCAGCCCCUUCAAAACUGAGCUGUGCCCUGCUGCCAAGCCAGCCCUGCACCACUGUCCCUGCCAGCUCCUUCUCUUGGCUGUUCCCCACAUCCAGGCUGUCAGAUGAAGGUUCUCCCACACCUCCAGCAAGCAUCGCAGAGCAGCUGGGGAAGGGGCUGGAGCUCACAGGCUGCAGAUCUGUCUGGUCGCCAUGUUAAAUCCCCCUGAGAGAUGCCCAGGACAGCACCCCAGCGAGGACAGUGACAGCCUGGUGAGAGCUGCAGUGUAGCACUGCGUGUAUUUGACAAGCUGAGUUUGACACUCAGUCUGGCAGAGUGUCAGUUUGUCAAAUACCCCAAGUGAGGCACUUGCUGAGCAACACGGCCGCGCACCGAGGGGAUGGACUCCUUCACACGCUCCUCUCUAAAAGCCUAAUGAGGUAUGGAACAAACUGCCCCACUGUA